UUUCAAGCGAAAAUCAAAGUUCAAAAUAUACAAAUCGUUGUUCGAAACCUCCAUCAAAACACCAUCAAACUCUCCGUGAAGAAUCUGAAGAGAAAACAAAGCAACAAUACUCAACGUAAGUUCAUUAAGAUUCCUAGAAAAUGGCAGCAAGAAACCAAACAAAAGACCUUAAGUGUGCCACACAUCUCCUGAGUGAUAAGUUCAGAAACAUGACUGAGGAGAAGAAGGCGAUUGUGAGGGAUCUCGGAUUCGGUGGGUUGAUGCACAUCCCACCACUAAGGGUGGAUCACCAACUCUUAAGGGAGCUGGCAAACAACUUCAAACUUGGGGAGAACAGACUGAAGACAGGAUAUGGUUCUUUCCAAAUAACACCAAAAAAAUAGGUCAUGCGCUUGGCAUCAAUGCAACAGGAGAUCUAUUUCCUGAGAAAGUUGAGUAUAAGAAACUUUCUGAUGAUGACAAAAUAAUUUAUAGAAGAUUCCAGGGUAAGACCCUCAAAAGUCUUACCGAUGAAAUGAUGAAAAUCGGCGUUGG